GUUGUUCUUUUGGUUUUUGAUCCACAAUCAAGAUGAGUAUCUGUUCUUAUCAUUUAACACCUCAUAAAUCCUCUACCUGAGGGUACUUUAAUCAAUUGGAUUUUUUUGGAACAGAGAGAUGGAAUAGAGGUUUAGUCCUCAAAUCAGCCCGAUGUCCCAGAUCCCCCGUGAAUGGCACGGUUCUCCCUUUUGGGAUAGAUGCC
rnacentral:snRNA from 1 species